rnacentral:rRNA from 1 species
AAUCUUCCGCAAUGGACGAAAGUCUGACGGAGCAACGCCGCGUGAGUGAUGAAGGUUNNNGGAUCNUCAAACUCUGUUGUUAGNGACNAACAAGUAUCGGAGUCACUACCGGUACCUUGACGGUACCUGACGAGAAAGCCACGGCUAACUACGUGCCAGCAGCCGCGGUAAUACGUAGGUGGCAAGCGUUGUCCGGAUUUAUUGGGCGUAAAGCGCGCGCAGGCGGUUUCUUAAGUCUGAUGUGAAAGCCCACGGCUCAACCGUGGAGGGUCAUUGGAAACUGGGAAGCUUGAGUGCAGAAGAGGAGAGUGGAAUUCCAUGUGUAGCGGUGAAAUGCGUAGAGAUAUGGAGGAACACCAGUGGCGAAGGCGACUCUCUGGUCUGCAACUGACGCUGAGGCGCGAAAGCGUGGGGAGCGAACA